rnacentral:rRNA from 1 species
AGCAGUAGCCGGGUAAUACGAAGGGGGCUAGCGUUGUUCGGAAUUACUGGGCGUAAAGCGCACGUAGGCGGACAUUUAAGUCAGGGGUGAAAUCCCGGGGCUCAACCCCGGAACUGCCUUUGAUACUGGGUGUCUAGAGUAUGGAAGAGGUGAGUGGAAUUCCGAGUGUAGAGGUGAAAUUCGUAGAUAUUCGGAGGAACACCAGUGGCGAAGGCGGCUCACUGGUCCAUUACUGACGCUGAGGUGCGAAAGCGUGGGGAGCAAACAGGAUUAGAUACCCCUGUAGUCCCUGUCUCUUAUACC